rnacentral:tRNA from 1 species
CCUGCUUUGGGAGCAGGGGGUCGCGGGUUCGAAUCCCGCCUUCCCGACUCA